rnacentral:rRNA from 1 species
AUACGUAGGGGGCGAGCGUUGUCCGGAAUGAUUGGGCGUAAAGGGCGCGUAGGCGGCCCGGUAAGUCUGGAGUGAAAGUCCUGUUUUUAAGAUGGGAAUUGCUUUGGAUACUGUCGGGCUUGAGUGCAGGAGAGGUAAGUGGAAUUCCCAGUGUAGCGGUGAAAUGCGUAGAGAUUGGGAGGAACACCAGUGGCGAAGGCGACUUACUGGACUGUAACUGACGCUGAGGCGCGAAAGUGUGGGGAGCAAACAGGAUUAGAUACCCUGGUAGGCCACACUGUAAACGAUGAAUGCUAGGUGUUGCGGGUAUCGACCCCUGCAGUGCCGGAGUAAACACAAUAAGCAUUCCGCCUGGGGAGUACGGCCGCAAGGUUGAAACUCAAAGGAAUUGACGGGG